rnacentral:rRNA from 1 species
GACGAACGCUGGCGGCGUGCCUAAUACAUGCAAGUCGAGCGAUGAAGAUUGGUGCUUGCACCAAUUUGAAGAGCAGCGAACGGGUGAGUAACGCGUGGGGAAUCUGCCUUUGAGCGGGGGACAACAUUUGGAAACGAAUGCUAAUACCGCAUAACAACUUUAAACAUAAGUUUUAAGUUUGAAAGAUGCAAUUGCAUCACUCAAAGAUGAUCCCGCGUUGUAUUAGCUAGUUGGUGAGGUAAAGGCUCACCAAGGCGAUGAUACAUAGCCGACCUGCGAGGGUGAUCGGCCACAUUGGGACUGGGACACGGCCCAAACUCCUACGGGAGGCAGCAGUAGGGAAUCUUCGGCAAUGGACGAAAGUCUGACCGAGCAACGCCGCGUGAGUGAAGGAGGUUUUCGGAUCGUAAAACUCUGUUGGUAGAGAAGAACGUUAGUGAGAGUGGAAAGCUCAUCAAGUGACGGUAACUACCCAGAAAGGGACGGCUAACUACGUG